rnacentral:rRNA from 1 species
AUAUUUUACAAUGGGGGCAACCCUGAUCCAGCCAUGCCGCGUGUGUGAAGAAGGUAUUCGGAUUGUACAGCACUUUAAGUUGGGAGGCAGGGCUUUAGGCUAAUACCCUGAAGUUUUGACGUUACCAACAGAAUAAGCACCGGCGAACUCUGUGCAAGCAGCCGCGGUAAUACAGAGGGUGCAAGCGUUAAGCGGAAUUACUGGGCGUAAAGCGCGCGUAGGUUGUUCAGUAAGAUGGGUGUGAAAUCCCCGGGCUUAACCUGGGAACUGCUUUCAUAACUGCUGAGCUAGAGUACGGUAGAGGGUAGUGGAAUUUCCUGUGUAGCGGUGAAAUGCGUAGAUAUAGGAAGGAACACCAGUGGCGAAGGCGACUACCUGGACUGAUACUGACACUGAGGUGCGAAAGCGUGGGGAGCAAACAG